GCCGUCCCUUCCGGCCGGCGCCAUGAUGGCGGCGCAGGGGCUGUCCAAGGCCGAGUACCUGCGGCGGUACCUGAGCGGGCCGGCCGCCGCUGAGGCCGCCCAGCCCCGCCGCCGCCGCAAGAAGAAGCAGCCGAGCGGCGCCGGCAGAGGCGGGAUGCGGAUCGUGGACGACGAUGUCAGCUGGAAUAGCAUCGCCGCUGUCCCGGAGAAGGAGGAGGAGGAGGAGGACGAAGGGGACAUGCCUGUGGUGGCAGAAUUUAUCGAUGAGCGUCCGGAUGAAGUGAAGCUCAUGGAGGAGUUCCGAACAAAUACAAAGUGGAAACUUUUAGGAGACCAGAAUGAAGACUCACAAAGUUUGGAUACUUCAGUACCUGCCAAAUCCACCGCAAGGCGACAGCGCCACGACUCCCCGGACAGCUCACCACCACGGAGGCUGCGGCAUGACUCCCCGGACAAAUCCCCUCCAGGGCACCAGCGCCACGACUCCCUGGAUCUGUCUCCUCCCAGGCGAGAGAGAAACAAUUCCCCCAACCUCUUGCCUCCCAGGCGGCAGCGCCACGACUCCCCGGAUCUCUCCCCACCAAGAAGGAAACGUCACGACUCUCCAGACUUGUCACCACCAAGAAGGAAACGUCACGACUCUCCAGACUUGUCACCACCAAGAAGGAAACGUCACGACUCUCCAGACUUGUCACCACCAAGAAGGAAACGUCACGACUCUCCAGACUUGUCACCACCAAGAAGGAAACGUCACGACUCUCCAGACUUGUCACCACCAAGAAGGAAGCACAAUGGCUCUGCGGACCUCUCUCCACCAAGAAGGAAGCACAAUGGCUCUGCGGACCUCUCUCCACCAAGAAGGAAGCGUCACGACUCCCCGGACCUCUCUCCACCAAGAAGGAAGCGUCACGACUCCCCGGACCUGUCGCCUCCCAGGCGACAGCGUCACGACUCCCCGGACCUGUCGCCUCCCAGGCGACAGCGUCACGACUCCCCGGACCUGUCGCCUCCCAGGCGACAGCGUCACGACUCCCCGGACCUGUCGCCUCCCAGGCGACAGCGUCACGACUCCCCGGACCUGUCGCCUCCCAGGCGACAGCGUCACGACUCCCCGGACCUGUCGCCUCCCAGGCGACAGCGUCACGACUCCCCGGACGUCUCUCCAAAGAGAGUCAGUUCAGCCACGGGGAAAAAGGGCUGCAAAACCACAGACAAGUCACGACCAGGGGGAGUGCAAGGAGAGCAGUCUCAGCUCAGGCACAACGCCUCUGACAAGUCCUCGUCACGACAGAAGCGUCAGGCUACUCCAGAUCUAUCUCCGCCACGGAAGAAGAGGUACGAUUCCGACCCGGAUUCAUCACCGCCUCGGCGAAAGAGGACUGGGUCGCCUGGCCUGAAAAAGCAGAGCAGAACAAAAGGUGGUUCUCCGGCCACGAAAAAGCUCAGGCAGGUGCCCUCACCUCAGAGGUGCCUGAGACACGACUCUGCCUCUCCGUCUCCACGGAGGGGUACCCGGAAUGCUUCUGACGCAGACCGCAGGCCGGGCCGUGUACGCAGCGAUUCCCCGAAACGUGGUCCUCUCAAACAGAACCGGAGCCAAUCUUCGGACUCAGAUUUAUCUCCCCCACGACGGGCUCUGCCAGCCGGAAAGGAUCAGCACAGUCCAAGGAGUCCCCCUGACCGUGAUGCUAAGGGAUCUCCCAAGAAGGCAAAUGUGAUGUUUUCUGGGGUUAAAGCUGGCUUGGUGUCAGCUGACGUGCUGCGGAGGGAACAGCAGGAGCUGAGGAGGCAUGAGAGAAGUAACAAGCACUUGGAAGAGGAGUCCCGGCACUCAGAGACGGUCUUCCGAGACAAGACAGGCCGCAAGAGAGACCUUGCGCAGGAGCGGCUGGAGCAGAGGCAGAAGGCUGAAGCGAAGUCGGAGAGAGACGAGCAGUACGCCAAAUGGGGAAGAGGGCUAGCGCAGGGCAGGCAGCAGCAGCAGAACGUGGAGGAUGCAAUAAAAGAGAUGCAGAAGCCAUUGGCCCGUUACAUCGAUGAUCAGGAUCUGGAUCGAAUGCUGCGGGAACAAGAGAGAGAAGGAGACCCCAUGGCUGACUUCAUCAAGAAAAGGAAGGCCAAAGAGAACAAAGAAAAGAAAGAAAAACCCAGGUACAAGGGACCAGCGCCUCCGCUCAACAGAUUUAAUAUAUGGCCCGGGCAUCGCUGGGAUGGUGUGGACAGGUCCAACGGAUUUGAGCAGCAGCGCUUUGCCCGGAUAGCCAACAAGAAGGCAGUUCAGGAGCUUGCGUACAAGUGGAGCGUUGAGGACAUGUAGACAAGACGAAGAACCGUGCAAAGCUCCUGAAUUGACGCUGCAGAGAUUCACCUGCUGCUGGAGCCACGAGGAAUGGCUCGCUCUGCCUGGACCCAGCCCUGUCCUCGGCGCUCAGCAUCCCAGCAGACCUUGCUUCCGAGAGGCAAGGCUGAAUUUAGAGGAGAGCCACUGAAAGAGGAUAUUCCUGUCGGGCGGAGAGGAUGGGCGCGGAGAACUGCAGCGGUGCUACCUGGAGCAGCGUGGUGGAGAGGUGUGGUGGCCGCUGCCGGCGGCAGUGCCUCGGCUCUCUGGUGCUUCCCCGUGAGGUGCUGCAGACAUUGGUUUCUGGUCCGUUUAUUUGUCUUCUAACCGUAGAAACUCUAUGCUUAAUUGUUUUAUGCCAAACGCUUUGUCCUCUGAGGGCGGUUCACAAGUCUUCAGGUGUCCUAAAUCUCAGGUUUUUCUUCAUGGUGAAAGUACACCAAACCCUUGGCCAGUGGGGAGCGAACCUCAUCCAGUAGGUCAGUCUGUUCCAGUUGCAGUUUCAGUUGUGUUCGAGUUCUUCCAGAGAGGGACAGUACCCUAAAACCACUUAAUCCAGCAAGCUGAUUUGCUUCUGGCUGAUGUCAGGUCUGCCCUGUGUCCUUCCCAGCGCACCCAAAGGGCUUCUCUUAAGUUUCUGUAGUUAUCGUGUCCCCUAGUUCAUGGAGUCACCGACUUGCGGUGAAAUUAGUAAAGCUCAGCUGCUCCUCCUAGCCUGGGCCGAGCGGGAAGCUGCUCGCUCUGUGUCUCUGGUUCUCCCCUGGAAGAGGCCGAGAGCCAACCCUUCAGGAGCCCCGGCAGCUCUCGGGGGGACAAUUUCUUGUGGAAAUACGUGUACAGAGGGCAUUGCAGUUGCUUCCCCUGACCGUUGCUUCGGAGCAUGUGAAGUGUAACGCCUUGCCUGUGAUCAGAUUUGUCGGGCUUGGAGCUGGAGGCCAGGCAGAGAGCUUCCCUUAAUCCCCGCUUGUGAGAAAGCACUCGUGGAAAUAAAUACAGUUGUUCUUCGCUGAAGUCCCAGGGAGCAUGUGUUAAACGCAGCCAGCAGUUUCCAUGGAGAUACCUUGUUUUUGCAGGGAUUCUCGAGCCCUAGGAGGGCUAUGGGUGAGAAGUAUAAGGACAAAGUGUUUGCUGGAGUGGGAGAGUCUUGGGAAUUCCUUCCCUGUUUUUUUUAUUUUUUAUUCACUGUCUUAUGUUUCUAGCAGUCCUGGAAUCUGUGUGUACACUUGCCAAUAACAGCUUUCUUUUCUUACUUGAUUUUGCGUGGUGGUGAUUUUUAUUUUUUUUUUUCCAAGGCAGGGAUGAGGGGGGUAAAUCAUUGUUAGCCUCCCGGUAAUAGGAUUGGAUAUAACGUGGGAAUAUAUAUUGGAUAUACAAGCGGGAACUUACUGGACCCUACCCGUGCUGCCAGUCCUGCCUGUAUUUAUGGGGUAGUCAGCUAAGCUUCGCCAUGUGCUUUGGGGACAGAUACUCUGUGUAAACCAUGAGCUGCUGCUCACAGCUGGUGAUCGAGGCCGGGAGAGGAAUGGAGAACCAGGCACCAUUUGUAGAUCUUGUGGGAGCGAGCUGUGGCUUUUUUUAUUUUACUUGAAUAGCCAAACCUGAGCCGGUCUCAUUUCUUUUGUGGGCGCAAAGGCGGCGUCGGGAAGGCUCUACUCACGUGGGCCCUAUUGCAGCCUGUCUGGCAGGAAAAUGGUUUGGGAGUACGAGGUGAUAGCGUGAGGCACAGCGAGAGUUUGGAGCUGCCUGCUGCAGUUUAUUGAAAGCCUGCUCCUCAGCCGUGCCUGUUUUCCAGUUGUACUUUCCCCUUCAAUCACCGAGGCCCUUUUUUUUUUUUUUUUUUUUUUUAAUGUAACUCGAGGCAGCUGCAGCCUUGAAGGGCGUUGUUACAUUUGACACAUACUCAUUUUUGCUCUCACUUAUCCAAGUGCUUCUGGAGAUGUAAAAAAACCCAAUAAAAUACUGUGGAAUUACUCAACUCACCUUACUGUGGACAGUUGUUGCCCUGGCUAAAUGCUCGUACCUUCCUGUCCACCCUGCUUGAGCGAGAGCGUGCCUCUUGCGGAGCAGCAGAAGGCGGCAGCUGGCACGGUGGUUGGGCAUAUAAGCUGCUACUGGGGAAGCAAAGCCGUUUUAAUGCUGGUACUGAGCACAACAUUUUUUAGUACCUGAAAACAGUGUGAGCUGCUGCUCUUGCAACUUACUUUGAAAGCUGCGGUUUUAAGAUUUUUAGUUAGAGGUAUGUAUGUUUGUUACUACCCAGGGGACCUCCUGUCAGUGUUUGUUACCAUACUGGAAUUACACAAUGUGUCUAUUACUCGUUUAUUACCAGAUGUUUUCUCGGUAAAACAUAUCUGUGCAACAUAACAGAGUAUGGGAGAGCUCAGAUGAUGCAAUCCUGACAUUUUAAUAUGCAUCCUUCUAUCUUGUUGCCUGAGGGAACACUAAGGUGGGACAGUAAAGAAGAGCGAAGGCCAGUUUGUCCCAGUGCCCUUGGUCUGCAUCCCGCGUCGCCGUGGCUCUCCUGUCCCAGCUGUGGCUGUGUCUGAGCGGUUCUGGCAUCAGAGAGCGCUUGGCGGCUCCGAGUGGCGGGUGCUCGGCAGAGCCCGAUGGCUGCGUGACUCACCGGGGGACAGUGCUGCGGCAGAGUCCCUGGGGCGCAGGAUUUGGGGGGAAAAGUGCUUUCCCUGCGCCUCUGUCCCACGGCGGGGCCGGGAGCGAAAGUCGCAGAGGCUGACAGGUUAGUGAUUGCAUAUGCAUACGUGCACUCUCCCUAAUUAUUCCAUAAUUAGGGACACGCAGAGAUCAAAAUUACUAAUAAUAUUUACUCUAGACUCAAUUUUUUUUAAAUAACCUCUCUCUCUUUCUCUCUUGCUCGUUCGCCGAGUCUUGGUGGAAAUAACUUUGCAGAUCCCAGUUAAUGAAUAUUUGUAAAUGCAAGAACAUUCGGCGCCGGAAUAUCCAGAGGGCAUCCUCUCUCUGCCUUGUAAUUUUUUUCACGAGAUAUUUAAUAUUUAUGGUUCCGCAGCCUCGUGAAUAAAGAGCCACCCGCGAACCCCCAGGAGCUCAGGGGCUGGGGAUAUUUAUGGCGCUUCCUCUUUUUCUUUUCAAUUACAAAGACACCUCACAUAAUUAAGUGCUAAUAACCUUGUUAAUCUAAAAUUGAUACUCUUUCUCCUGGCCAUCUCUUAAUAGAAUUAAAAGCAGAUUAAUAAUCAAGGGUUGGAGACGUUGCAUGCAAUUAAGGAAGAGGGGGCCGCCCUCGGGCCCCUCACCACACUCCCCCGGGGAGGAUGUGGGAGCCGGUGCCAUGCCGGGACCAGGGCUGGCACAGGCGAUGCUGGAGUCGGGGUGGCCACCCCGACGGGGAGAUGCCUUUCCCCCGCGCUCUUUACACAGCUUAAAUUUUUAAGACAAACACCAUCUCCUAAUGAAACUGUUUUAUGUUAAUUAAUUAUGUAUCAAGACUCAUUUUCAUGCGUGGCCCAGCUCUGCUUCCCCUCCGCCGAGCUUUCGAUCUGUCAAAAGCUAAACGGGAGAUAAAUAAUCAAAUUAAAAAGCAGCCUGGAUGGAAAUAAACACAUUUUCGAUGUGUUAUCUGCCGGUUAGAGCAAGGCACCGAGCCGAUCAGGGCCUGCGGUUCGGGGCUGCGCAGGGCAGGGGAAGUUUCCUGUGCCUCGGUUUCCCUGCAGUCCCCCAGCCCACCCGUGUGUCCCGGUGCACGGAGAGGGGUCUCGGGGGCAGCUCGGCAGCCCCUGCCUCCCGGAGAACGGCCGCUCGUCCUCUAUCUGCACAGCACUGAUGAAAAAUUAAAAGUCUGCAGCGCUUCUUUCUUCCAGGUGAUGAAACAUCCCCCGGCAGCUCCGGGCCACAACCUGUCCGUGCCCAGGGAAGUUGGGAUGUCAGCGGCGGGCACGGUUUCAGGAUAAUUUAACACAGUCUCUAAGAAUUUGUUACACCUAAGCGGAGGCAGAGGUGCAUCCACAUUCAUUUUGGAGGACCUUCAGAAACUGUAACUUCCUCAGCCAAGCCAGCCUGCCGCAGCCCUCCAGCCUAGGCUCCCGUUCAAGCGCAGGAGGUGCGCUCAAGUGUGCUGCAGCCGCAGCUCCCGUGCAGGCAGAGCCAGGCCAGCGCUGUGCAGAGCAAGCAAGCGUGCCAUGCCGGGACGUUGGCCAAACCCGGCCCCGCUCAAGUGCUGCGCCACGAGGUCUCCAGCCCAGAGAGGACCCCGUCCCAGGUGGUGGACAGAGGGACGCCGCAUCCCUUUCCAGCGCCGCAGGGGGCUGAAUUAUUUAAUGCUGAAUAUCAAGCAGAGAUGUUUUCCCUUCGCCGGGCUGCUGACUGUGCACUUUAGGGCUGGAAAGAUUGGCAGAUGGCUGCUCUCCGAGGAGCAGGUGCUUGGCUCCCGCCACCGCCGCACCCCACGGGGCCACGUCCCGCGUGGCUGUGGGAAUGGGAACGGUCCCGGUGGCACGUCCCACGCCUGGGCCGUGCAUCCUGCAUCCCAGGUACACCCAUUUGCUGCCGGAGUCUUCACCUGAGCGGUGCAAACAAAAGCCCCCCCCCCGGCACUCUCCAGCCGAGCCUGGCUUUUAGACCAGAAUUAAAACAUUGGCAGGUUCAUCCAGAUUUCCCCUAAAUAAAAUGUCAGCGUAAUUCCACAUCUCGCCCUGCUCGCCUGACAUUUCUGGGAGUAUUGUCUGAGCGCUGAUUGCCUGCUGCUGGAAGCUGUUUGCCACUGACCUGCUCUGCCUCCGCUCUUGCCUCAGCGCUGCCCAGGACCCGCAUCCCGCUGCUCCCGGGGGCUUGCAACAAAUAAAAAUAGGGCCUGGCUUUUGCUAGCACUCCUCGCAUGAGGCUUCUUCGGGCGAUGGCGAGGCGUUUCCCACGGGAACACAACCCUGGGAGUGGCAGUUGAGCCAGGGAAGGAGGAACAGCCCGAAAAGGGCUGCCGAAGGGCGGGUGGGUGACAAAGGGUGCUUGCUCUGCGCUGGGCACUGACCAGGGUGCCAGGAGGAUAAGCGCUG